CUCUCUCAUCUCUCGUCUCUUUCAACUCACUUCUUCAGAGACCACUCCAAAGAACCCUAGAGCCGCCUGAAAUUUCCACCGUCUCCACCGGCGGCGCCUAUCCCAAUCCCACCCAAAUUAACACCCUAGGAACGCCUCACUCCCCUCAUCUCAAAUCCACACUCUGUUUGCUUCAAAUCCCCUUGAAUCUUCUCGAAUAUCAGAUCAAAGGGGAACCCUAAAAUCCAAGUUGUCCAAAUUCGAGUUUGCUUUGAAGUUUUGGGGUCAUUCUGAUGUUAUUCAUAUGUUUUGAUGAAAAAUAAACAUGCGAGUAGUCUCAGAUUGAGCCAGAAAUAUGAGGAUUGGAAAAUUCGUCAAAUGCUUUUAUGGUCUGAAACCUUCGUAGGUACAUUUUUUAACUCUAUCCAAUGUAAAAACAUUGUGAUAUGGAAAUCUGGAAGAUUUGAAGCAUAUUGGCCAUUUGCUCUCUUUGUAGGAGUUUAACUUUGUCUCCAUUUUGAAACUUUAGUUGUAAGAUGUUUACGCUUAUAUGCUAGUUAGUGACAGUGCUCUUUAGGGGUUGGGUUUUGGUUUGAAAUGGACAUGAGGUUCAAUUUUCUGUCAAAUGCUCUGUAAUUUGAAAAUCAGUACUAGAUAAAUGAACUUUUGUCAUGAUCUUUGGUUU